rnacentral:rRNA from 1 species
AGCAGCCGCGGUAAUUCCAGCUCCAAUAGCGUAUAUUAAAGUUGUUGCAGUUAAAAAGCUCGUAGUUGAAUUUCGGGAUCAAUUUAUUGGUCGUGCUAUUGUACGUACUGGUAUUAUUGAUUCCUACCUUCUGACGAACCAUGAUGUCAUUAAUUUGGUGUCAUGGGGAAUCAGGACUGUUACUUUGGAAAAAUUAGAGUGUUUAAAGCAGGCUCACGCUUGAAUACAUUAGCAUGGAAUAACGAAAUAGGACGUUUGAUUCUAUUUUGUUGGUUUCUAGGAUCGACGUAAUGAUUAAUAGGGAUAGUUGGGGGCAUUAGUAUUCAAUUGUCAGAGGUGAAAUUCUUGGAUUUAUUGAAGACUAACUACUGCGAAAGCAUUUGCCAAGGAUGUUUUCAUUAAUCAAGAACGAAAGUUAGGGGAUCGAAGACGAUCAGAUACCGUCGUAGU